AAAUUAUCGUGUUGCUAUUCCUUGUUGUGAAUAUUCUCGCCUACUAGGGAAACAAACGAUCGUUAAUCAGAGAUUUUCGCAGCUUACAAAAAUACCCCAUUCAAAGCAAGUUACGAAAUGAAUAAACAUCGCGGAGACGCUCACAUUGAUAGUUAUUUACCCGAUAGCCUUCUGACUAGCAACUAACAAUAGAAUUUUCGUUAAUCCCGUAUUCCCCCACGACUCCGAUUAGCAAAAUAAAUAAAAUGAAAAAAAAGAUAGAAA
rnacentral:lncRNA from 1 species